GAUUUUUCAACAAGUGCCGUGGGAAUUAAACCAGAGAGGUUAUUCUUCUCCAAGUUUCUGCCAAAGCGGAGAAACUAUAUUAUCCUUUUCUAUUUUCUGAUACAGGGGAAUCAAAAAGUUGUUCCAGUAACUGAGGAAUUGAAAAAGUAACUGAUGAAGCAACUUACAAUAUCUUUAAGUGUUGAAAUUGAGACAGAAAAUCAGGAAUUUCACCGUUUAAGCUAUUGUUUGAUAAAUCCCUGAAAACAAACAUGCCUCCUUUUAAACAAGUCUAAGUUUAGUUUAUACGAUCAACCAGUCAAAAAUCAAUACUGAGAUAUAGCUCUCAAACAAGUUACCGUAAAAAUUAAUAAAUUUAACUUAACUCAUGAUUUAUGAUUGUUUCUUACUCUGAUCGUUUAUAUGGUAUAUACUUACAGAGGUUUCUUCUAGUGCCAUCGUUUAUUGGAUCAGGUGAAACAAAAAAGAAAAAAAACUCACAACUUCUCCAACAUGCUGAGGUUUGCAAUUGAAGGGUCUAUCUUUCCUGACAACCCACUUGAAGAUAAAUUCCUGUUUUGCAGAUCCAACAGUUAUAUCUGAUAUCAUCUCAGAAAAAUCAUCUCAGCUAUAUAAAAUUACUAUAGUAUUAAUUUGAGAAGAGUAACUUACAAAGUUGUGAUUCUUGGAGACUCUUUUUUGUUAUAACUACAAUUCAAACCAUCCCACAAGUAAUCUACAGGGGCACAUGGAUCACCUUGCCAAUCUCUUGUGACCCCAUAAAUUGAUUUGAUGGCUGUAAUGGCAUCAUCUUUGUUUUUUAAUGCAAAAAAGAGUGAAGGGUAGUUAAGAUCAUGUAGACAACAGGGUAAUCCAAAUAACUGGUAAAGGGUAGUUAAGAAGAAUAUUAAGAUCAUAUUUUUGUGGCAUACCAUCUCCUUUGAAUGUUUCUGAUUGCGGGAAAUCUAUUGCUUUGUAAAUUUCAAGGGCAUUGAUGAUGGGAGGCAGGGUUGAGUUUUUGGUCUUUUGAAGAGAGUAUAUAAUUUCUGACCCACUGGAGGCUGAGGAGCUAUAUAAAGUGGUGGCAAUUAGAUUCUUGGGUGAAAACUUUGAAUACCUCUGUAUACCAUUUUCCACGAUGUUGAAUUCUCUUGUCUGAUUCGUCCCUAACUCUUGAAUCUCCAUGAAGUACAUGUAAAGAUAGAAUUUAUCAGUUGGAUCAUCUGGCAUCCAGUUUAUUACCAAUGGAGCACUAUCAUUUGAUGGUGUAACUGCAGUGCUCAUCACAAUUGCUGGCGGUUGGUAUACGUUCUGCUCUAAAGCAUCAGCAGAAGAAAUCGAAACACUUAAUUGUGUCCAGUUAUUGAUGUUGCCAUAGCUCCAGUAACGAUCAUAAAUAUCUUCCUUGUACCUGAGAGAAAACAAAAUUAGUCCAAUAAUCAAUCAAUCAAUCUUGUAAUUGUUUUAUUAUGUUACUUUAGGUAUCAGCUUAGUUGAGAUGCUAGUUGCAUAGUGAUACCUAACACGAAAUCUUUUAUUAAAAAAAAAAAUCAAUCUUGUAAUGAAAAAGUUUAAUCCAAAAGUAGAGUUCACCUGUAGCCGAUGUUUGAACCCAUAUCCCACCGGAUGUAAGUUUCCAAUGAUCCAGAUUCAGUGACAUAAAUAUCAUUUGUCAAAGUUCUCAAUUCUAUGGAUGAUAUAAAUGGUGUUCCACUUCCUGUGUCAACCAGACAGAUCUGUACAUAAUCCAGUGAAGCCACAUGUAUGAUCUCAUUUACCUCGUUAAUUGAUCCAUUGUUUAUGUUCACUGUACUCCACCGAUUAGCCCCGAGAUGAACAUCAAACUUUGGUAGCUUAUUCAGCCCAUCAUAAUUUCCGUACAAAAAACCAGUCUUGAUCAGAUACUUAGAGCCUCUUGUGAUGUUUAUUUUGUAACAGUUCCUUUUUCCUUCUGGGAAGCUUCUUAGAGUCCACAUAUAUCGCUGAUACUGUUUUUUGAGAUCAGAUUCUAUUGACAUACUCACACCAGUAUUUAUUAAAUUUGCAUCUGAAGUAUAAUUUAUGCCCGUUUUCGACUCAGUAAAGCUAGCAUCUGCAGUAGCUCCACAGUCUAUGCUGAUGAAUCCUGAAACAUAAAAAAUUAUAUAUAUUUGCAUGGAACAUGAGACUUCAGCUAUUUUUUUUAUCAAAUAAUGGUGCAAUGAAGUUCAAGCUUUAACUUGCUAUCAAACCUGAUUGGUCCUGAGCUUGAAUCAGCGCAGCAAGAACUAGAGCUCCAACAAAACCAACAAGGAAACACCUCAACAUUCCCAUUUCUUAUCACCUUCUGCUUUCUGCCUUUGAAUCAGAAUAGGGAUUGCCCUUUUCUGACUUAUACCACAAAAGGAUUUGUGUUUUGGAGAGGUGGUCAAUGUCAACAUGAAGGUAAUCUUACCAAGUUACCAGUUUUGAGUUUCUUUAAAUUUUUAUCACUUUCCAUUCUUACUUUCAUCUAGUGCUAGGAUCAUCCACUUGAUUACUUUGAAAUUCCUGUCAUGUUCAUCACCUGUCUCUCAUGCAUGCACUUGCGUGUGCAUCAGUAGAAUUGUACAACAUUUACUGGUCAAUCAAUCAAUAUAUAUUGUAAAUGGAAAUAAACUAAUUAAAAACUUACCAAUCGAUGGAUCUCAACGAGUAUUAAAUCAAGAAGAAAAUGUCCAUGUUUUUUGUGGAACACUGUUAGAAUAAUUCCAAGAUAGGGUUUUAUGAUCCUCAUGCAAUUUAUAUAUGUCUCACUUGCCUUGCAAAAUUCAAGCAUAGAGACGUAUACAACAUAUGAAAAGAUUCGUAGCUGACAUUUCUAAGCGUUGACACUCGCUGCCAUAAUGCUCAAUGAACUGAUAAAAAAAGUGCUAAUCCAAUUUAAGUAUCUAUGAGAAGAUAUCUUUGAUGAAAAGAAAAUGAGUUAGUCAAUUAGAAGACAUACUAAGUCAAUAUUGAUUUAUCUUUUAAGCAAAAGUCAAUUCAUUUAGGGUGAGACCAAUUCAUUAUUUAUUUUUAUAACUAUUAACUAUUUGGCAAGUGAACCAAAUCCUAGAAGUAAUAAAAUUGGAAAGUUUAAGUAUAGUUUUCCAAGAGAUUUGCAUGUAUUUAAUUAAAUGUGAGUUCCUAUUAAUUUGUAGUAAAGAUUUAAAGGCAUAAGCUCAUAGGAAUUUAAAGAGCAGAGAUAAUUUUAAACUCAGUAUUCAAAGCUACCAAAAUUAAAAUUAUAUUUCUUAAUUAGGAUAAACAUAGAUAUCAUUAUCAAUUUCUCCAAGUAUAAUAUUGAAUUAAUAAAUAUUAUAAAUAAUAGUCAAAUGAUGCUAAACAGAAGAGAUGGUCAAUGAAAGUUAUAUAAAUACCAAUCAAUCGAGGAAAAAGUUUCUGUUAUUGAAAAUAUUUAUUGGAAGGAACUUGGAAUUCUUGUAUCUGUGUGGAUCUUGAUACUUGCAUAGCAGAUAGGAAAGAACUAGACAACAAAUUGCUCAGUGCUGUAUUGGGUAUUGAACCUGCUCCAGGUCCCUAUCACUGUGGGAACAACUUUUUAUGAGGCCAUGCUGCUAUACAAAGGAAAGAGAGUGAUAGCAUCAAUGGGUGAUGAGUACAGAGGUUUGUAUGUACGGAAGUUCUUGGACUAUCAUUAGGAGGAGUAGGCAUAGCAAACCUGAUUGAAAGGAUAACAUUUGCUGCAUAACGUUGGAUUGCAGUUAAGUGGAGAGGGAUCAAUGAAAAUGAAGCUGCAGAGGUAGAUGCACUGUCAUAAAGGGUUCUUUGUUCAUGAAGAUUGCAAUGUUAUGCAGCUCCUGAUUCUGUUUUUGUGUGUGCCUGUUAUGUGCUUCUCCGGCCAAUUCUGAUGAAGCAUAGACCAAAUUCAUGCCAACUCUGUUUUUAUUUGUGCUCUAUGGUUAUUUAUAUUAGGCUAGAUGCUUGGUAUGUUUUGCUGUUGCUGUCACCAUAUCUCUGUUCCUAUGCAGUUUGGGUUGCUGUAAAGGGACUAUGGUAUUCUGUUUUGUUGAUUGAAAGGAAGGUAAGAUUAAGAAAUCUAAGCCUAUAGAAGGUGAGAGUCUAUUUAUAAUUGUAAAAGGGUUGAGACACCCCUGAAGUACCCCUUUUAAUUCAUUUAAUCCUUUGUUGAUAAAAAAGAAUGACAGUUAAUAUGGGAAGAUACAAACUUAUAAAAAAAGAAAGAAAGAAAAUCAAAUAGAAAUAUAAAAUCUCCCUAAUAAAAAUCUUGCCAAAUGUAACCUAAAUAGAAUUAUCAUUUUUCUUUAAUUAUAUUUGAAAAUUUAUAUUGGAAGUUGCUGUGGUAAAAAGGUUGAAAAUGAUUGAAGAUCAACACAUCUAUAUAUAUAACAAUUCAGGGAUACAUAUUUAAUCAUUUGUUUAAAUAGCAGUAGAAAGUUCUUCUCAAUUUCAUAUUUAUCUGCACAAAUAUACCUGUGUAUCCAUAUUUGAUUCAGUAGGCUAAUUCAUAUACAAAACAAAAUAUUGCCUUGAGUAUUUUGUAAUUACAAUCGUUUCUUGCUUUCUUUUAUAAGAAAUAACUCUUACAAAGACCAAUUUACAAACGAUAUAUCUUUUUAGAAGAUGAAACUGCAUUCAUUCAAAUAAGAACACCAGUAAAAACAACAGCAAUGGUAAAUAAUUAUACAUUGAAAUUCACUCCUGAUUAUUUAUUUAUUUUUCUUCUAUUUGCACACUCUAUUUCACUCACCAAUCAAUCCUAACAAUCUUCAUCUUCAAACAACAGUUUAUCUGGCCUGGGGAAGAGAUUCUGUAUUCACAUUCAUGGCGACCCGUUUUAUUGAAUUACUUGUACCAUUACUUCUAUCUUUAGUUCCAAAGAAUUCCUUUGCUAAAGAUAAAGACUCCUUCAGUUCACUCACUACCUCGCUUAUGAUUGGCCUUCUGUUGGGAUUUGGAGAUACACAUGCCAUUGCUAUUUCUACUACUUUCCAAACUGAGUUACUAUCAAACUCUCCUUCUAACCUUGAGUCAACAAUAGCAUUGAUAUCACCUUUGCCAAUCAAGGACCUAACCCAUUCACUUAUGUGACUUUUUUCUUCAUUCUUCGCUAUCACUGGUUGCCCUGUGAUUAUCUCUAAAAGCACAACGCCAAAACUAUAAACGUCGCUCUUCUCUGUUAAUCUACUGGUUAGGUAGUAUCUGUAACACAGAAUGUAACUCAAUUUAUUUUCAGUCAAUUUUUUUUGGACAUAAACAUUCUUAUAGAAUUGCUAUAUUUUCCAACAAUGGCUAGGAAUAGGACAGUAUAGUUGAUGGACUCACUCUGGGUCUAGAUAACCAGGAGAACCAGCAAUCACAGUUGACACAUGAGUUCCCUCAUCUGUUGGGACAACUUUGGAUAGACCAAAAUCAGAUAAUUUUGCAUGAAGGAGUUCAUUCAACAAGAUGUUUGUAGAUUUUACAUCUCUGUGGAAUAUUGGUGGCUUACAACCAUUUUGCAGAUACUCCAACCCUGAGGCCAAAAGUAUAUUAAGAGAGGAAAUGAAGAAUUAAGAAAAGAAUAUUAUUGGUGUACCUUCUUACCUGAGGCUGCAUCCACUGCGAUUCGAAGUCUCCUUUCCCAGCUGAAGAAACUUGUUUUGUUUCGUUUACCUGCAUAAUCAAGUUCUAUAACUUUCUGUACAUAUUUUUGUUUCACUAAAGGUUAGUCAUAUGACUUGAACAAUUGUCCAAUAUGGAAAUAUCCAAAUCUUUGAGAAAACAAAACUAGUUUGGAUAUUUAUUGCACAGAUUUUAAACAAGAAAUUAAUUUUUUUUGGAGCUAACCAGAGAGAUGUUCUUGUAAGUUUCCGUUGGCCAUGUACUCGUAUACGAGACCCUUAUUGGUUCCUUCAUUACAGUAACCAACCAGGGAGGUCAAAUUUUUGUGAUGAACUCUCAUAAGAAGUUUAACCUGUAAAUCAAAAUCUCAACAAUUUUUUAACCUUGUAUAUUUAUUGCUGAGCUCAGGAACUUAGUGUUGAUUAUGCAGCUCAACCUUAUAUGUGAUUAAAAAUCCUACCUCUGCUUGAAAUUGUUGAUAACCAUGAACAGAAGACGGGGAAAUCAUUUUCACUGCAACUGGAGUGUCUUCGAUAUAGCCCAGAUAAACUGUUCCAAAUCCUCCUUUACCAACAAUUGUUGUGAAAUUGUUGGUGAUUUUAAUGAUAUCAGAGUAUGAAUAUAUUUGUUUUUGGAAUUGCAGUGAUGAAUCAUUUGAUUCAGUGUAUUGCGGUGAUAUGGCACUUUGAUUCUUUUUUAACAUCAAAGCUGUUGAAUGUCAUACACAAGUUUUUUAAAAACUAACAGAAUAAGUUUGAAUUCGAUUGGAAAAUUGUGAACAAAAAUUACAGAAUCUUAAUAACUGCAGCAUCACCUUUCGCUUUUCUUCUUUUAGCGGUCCACAAUAAAGCUGCCACUACUAACAGAAGGAUCAAAACCCCGCCAACUGAUGCUACUAUGGGUGUAACAAUGCUAUUGUUUUUUUUCUUGUUGCAUUGAUUAGCUUCACAUAGAUAUGGAUUUUGGUCAACACUGCAAUAAAUUCACAGUAGGUCAAUAUUUCAACUCCCAGUAAGUCCUACAAGUCAUACAAAUUUUCUAUAGAUACUUCAAUUCAUGUUGCUUGUGCUGAGAUAUUCAGUGGAUCAACUGCCUAUCAAAAGGUAUAGGUGGUACCACACCCUUAUUUAACAUUUAUAAUAAAAAGAGCUCCAGAUUCAAUUCUAUAGGUCAUGGGUGUGAAAGUCUGUACACAGAGCAAGGUGGGGUAUAAUUUGGUGUAAUCCAUUAUCCGAUGAAAUGAAUUGAAGUUGUGUUGUGAUAGAUGACUACAAAUGUAAAGAUGAUCUAUUUAAAAGACAUUUUAAAUUUGAGAAUUCUCAAUAAGAUGUAUACCGUAGUAAGAGGGAAGCUUUAUUAAGUGCUGGUGGAAUUAAACCAGAGAGGUUAUUCUUCUCCAAGUUUCUGCAAAGAAUAGGAAAUAUAAUAUAAUUUCUAUAUUUUGAUACAGAUGAUAUCAGGAACAACCACUGAAGGAACUUACAAGAUCUUUAAGUGUUGCAGUUGUGACAGAAAAUCAGGAAUUUCACCGUUCAAGCUAUUAUUUGAUAAAUCCCUGGAAACCAAAUUACUUCCUCUUUUAAGUAUGUUCAAAUCUUGACACAUAUACUUCUUAGCAUAUAAGUACAUGUAUGAAAGAAUAAAAGGAUAUAAUUAAUUAUGUUUUUUUUUCUUCUGGUCUCAUGAUUCAAUAUUGGACCAGGUGAAACAGAGAAACUCACAACAUCUCCAGCAUAGUGAGAUUUGAAAUUGAAGGGUCAAUCUUUCCAUGC
rnacentral:lncRNA from 1 species